CUGGAGGUUUGUGGGAAUAUUUCAGGAAGAGAGGAAACCAGCAUGGAAGAAAAGACUGGGUGGACACUAUGUGGAAGCCUGGGACAAUACACCAUUCGUUCCAGGAGGAUGCUUUCAGCUGUGGUGUCUUUGUGAUGCAGAUGGCCAAGC